GGUCAAGCUACUUAGGGCGCGCGGUGGAUGCCUUGGUACCAGAGGCCGAUGAAGGACGUGGUAAGGCUGCGAUAAGCUCCGCCCAGCUGCCUAACAAGCUCAAGCGGAGAUCUCCGAAUGGGGCAACCCGGCUCGGCAAAACCGAGUCACUCCGGACUGAACACAUAGGUCCGGUAGAGGGCACCGGGGGAACUGAAACAUCUAAGUACCCCGAGGAAAAGAGAGUAUUCCCCUAGUAGCGGCGAGCGAACGGGGAGAAGCCCAAACCGUCAGGGUUCGCCCUGGCGGGGUUGUAGGGCCCGCCUGCCGUAAGGCAUGGAGUUACAAAUCACACACCUAGAAGAACGGCCCUGGAACGGCCGGCCAAAGAGGGUGAGAGCCCCGUAAGCGAAAGGUGCUGUGACUCCAGGUGGGUACCUGAGUACCACGGGACACGUGAAACCCCGUGGGAAUCUGGGGAGACCACUUCCCAAGGCUAAAUACCUCUGGUGACCGAUAGUGAACCAGUACCGUGAGGGAAAGGUGAAAAGUACCCCGGGAGGGGAGUGAAAGAGACCCUGAAACCGCGUGCCUACGUGCAGUUGGAGCCCGUCUCGGCGGGUGACAGCGUGCCUAUUGAAGAAUGAGCCGGUGAGUUACUCUACGUGGCAAGGUUAAGCAAGGUGACUUGUGGAGCCGUAGCGAAAGCGAGUCCGAAUAGGGCGGCCAUAGUCGCGUGGAGUAGACGCGAAACCUGGUGAUCUACCCAUGGGCAGCGUGAAGUCCAGGUAAAACUGGAUGGAGGCGCGAACCUUCUAACGUUGCAAAGUUAUUGGAUGACCUGUGGGUAGCGGUGAAAUGCCAAGCGAACCAGGAGAUAGCUCGUUCUCCCCGAAAUGCAUUUAGGUGCAGCGUCAGGCGAUAUCCAUCGGAGGUAGGGCUCUGAAUGGGCUAGGGGGCUCACCGCUUACCAAACCCAAUCAAACCGCGAAUGCCGAUGGACAAAACCUGGCAGUGAGACAGUGGGGGCUAAGCUUCAUUGUCGAAAGGGAAACAGCCCAGACCACCAACUAAGGUCCCGAAGUCCAUGCUCAGUGUGAAAGGAUGUUGAAUCGCGAAGACAGCCAGGAGGUUGGCUUAGAAGCAGCCACCCUUUAAAGAGUGCGUAAUAGCUCACUGGUCGAGUGGUUCUGCGCCGACAAUGUAACGGGGCUAAGCAUGGCACCGAAGUUGUGGGUCUGUCACAAUUGCGUGACAGGCGGUAGGGGAGCGUUUGCUUCAGCCGUGAAGGGGAAGCCGUGAGGCACCCUGGAGCGAAGCGAAGUGAGAAUGCCGGCAUGAGUAGCGUAAGGUGCGUGAGAACCGCACCCGCCGUAUACCUGAGGUUUCCUACGGAAGGUCAAUCCGCGUAGGGUUAGUCGGGCCUAAGCCGAGGCCGAAAGGCGUAGGCGAUGGACAGCUGGUUAGUAUUCCAGCACCGCAGUGGUAGCGUUUGAUGCAGAGGGGGGACCCAGGAGGGUAGACCCCGCGGGCCCAUUGGACAUGGCCCGUCCCUGGUUCGUAGGCAUCCGGCCGGAGGGAAAUCCCCGGUCGGGCCAAGCUGAGGAAUCGGGGGAAGUGGAGACAUCGUCAAAGCGAUGGGGUUAAGCCCACGCUGGCUAGAAAAGCCUCGCUGCUAGUUACCACCGCGCCCGUACCGCAAACCGACACUGGUAGGUGACGGUAAGUACCGUAAGGCGAUCGGGAGAACCUUCGUUAAGGAACUCGGCAAAUUGGAUCCGUAACUUCGGGAGAAGGAUCGCCCCUGGGCGUGAACAGGUUCGCCCUGCUAGCGUUCGGGGGCCGCAGUGAGCAGGCCCAGGCGACUGUUUAUCAAAAUCACAGGUCUCUGCUAAAGCGAAAGCUGAUGUAUAGGGGCUGACGCCUGCCCAGUGCCGGAAGGUUAAGAGGAGAGGUUCACGCCUUGAAUUGAAGCCCCGGUGAACGGCGGCCGUAACUAUAACGGUCCUAAGGUAGCGAAAUUCCUUGUCGGGUAAGUUCCGACCCGCACGAAAGGCGUAACGAUCUGGGCACUGUCUCAACGAGAGACUCGGUGAAAUUAUAGUACCUGUGAAGAUGCAGGUUACCCGCGACAGGACGGAAAGACCCCGUGGAGCUUUACUGUAGCCUGAUAUUGAAUUUUGGUACAGCUUGUACAGGAUAGGUAGGAGCCUUGGAAGCCGGAGCGCUAGCUUCGGUGGAGGCGUCGGUGGGAUACUACCCUGGCUGUAUUGAAAUUCUAACCCGCGGCCCUGAUCGGGCCGGGAGACAGUGUCAGGUGGGCAGUUUGACUGGGGCGGUCGCCUCCUAAAAUGUAACGGAGGCGCCCAAAGGUUCCCUCAGAAUGGUUGGAAAUCAUUCGUAGAGUGUAAAGGCACAAGGGAGCUUGACUGCGAGACCUACAAGUCGAGCAGGGACGAAAGUCGGGCUUAGUGAUCCGGUGGUUCCGCAUGGAAGGGCCAUCGCUCAACGGAUAAAAGCUACCCCGGGGAUAACAGGCUUAUCUCCCCCAAGAGUCCACAUCGACGGGGAGGUU
rnacentral:rRNA from 1 species